AGACAGCACAUGUACGUCUGGCCGAUGUCGGCCCAAUAUCGAAACGUCGGCCUCUAUACCUAAAACAUCUAUAAAACAUCGGCCUGGCGGAGGCCGAUAUCAUUUGGUCAGUGCUCUGUUCUCCAGCUCAUCAGUCGUCGGCCCUGAGUUGGUUCACGACCGCGGGCCGAUGCCGCGCUUAUCUGUGUGCGCGUGCCCAGUAUUCGUCUCUUUUAGCCACCCAGAGAGAGAAGAGGAUAAUCCCAGCGACAUCUGUGACUCUGAGGUAACGUUACGAUUUCACUUCAGCUCAAUUAGACAAAAAAUACUACUUUGUUAAUUCUGUGACACUGAAAAGGUACUGCGUUUAUACAGUCUAUGGGCAGCUAAAGAGUCUGGCUCAUUUUCAGCGAUUUUUUAACAUUAAUGUUAACGCCUUAAUGCGUUUUCAGAAGUUUCUCGGAGGGAAAAUGUAAAAGCGGAUUAUUAAAGAGAAGUCCUGACUGCUUUUUCACCGUAUUUUUCACUCUUUUACAGGCUUCCAGAAAUAAUCCGGUGAAAUAAUAUGGUGAGCUAUUGUUGCUGUUGCUUCUGAACUACAAAAUGAUUUUUAAAUGUAUUAUUGAAUGAGACUGUACAUUAUAAAUGUAAUGCUUUAACUCUAGAUGUUUGUUUGUGUGAAUGCUGUGUGUGCGGUGAGUCCUGCGCUAGCGGGGAGCAGAGUUGCCAUGGAAACGGGGCGUCAACACAAAAACCGUUACUGGCAAACAGUAAUCUCCGUCUCUCGCUGCGGUUUACACUGUUUUAGGUAAGUUUAGUGUCUAAAAUCACACAAAUAUUACAUACAAAUGUUCCUGACGCGUUUCUUACUUGUUAUUGACAUGUUUCAAUUAAAUCUAUUUUAUAGAAACGGUUUAGUGUCUUCGGAAAAGUCCGUUAUCAUUUUAGCAGUUUUCAGAUGUUUGUUUGUGUAAAUGCUGUGUGUGCGGUGAGUUCUGCGCGAGGAGCAGAGUUGCCAUGGAAACGGGGCGUCAACACAAAAACCGUUACUGGCAAACAGUAAUCUCCUUCUCUCGCUGCGGUUUACACUGUUUUAGAAACGGUUUAUUUUCUUCGGAAAAGUCCGUUAGCAUUUUAGCAGUUUUCAGGAGGACAGAAAGAAACUCCACAGAACAGAAGUGAAGCUCCAAGAUUUCAACAUUUAUGAAGGGAGAUACUGACUUAGAAAUACAGGUGAACUGAAGAAGCUCAUGAAAUACAUGAAUAUGCCUUUUUCAGAAUACAUUUCACCAAUUUUAAGAAGUCCCUGACAUCAUGACCUUGUUUCCUUCUAAUGAACCUGGAACUGCAGAGUAAAUAUUGUUGACUCUGUGUCAGAUGGCUUGUUUUGUUCCUGGACUCUUCAGUGAUGACGAUCAGAGUCUGAGUGAACCUGCUGUCAGACAGGUUGGCCUGAUUGACGAUGCCAUCGUCCAUCGCCGAUGGCUGAUAGACAUCACGAUGCUGCGCCGGCAAACAGCGUCAUCAGCUCCAGUAUCUCGCCCGUGCAUCUGUUGUCAUGCGACAGAGAAGUCACGUUCUAUAGAGAGUUUCUACAGACAGUUGUGAACGUGCUGACAGCUGGUUGCCCAGGCUAUGGAUUAAAGGUAAUACUGUUGGCCAGCAGAGCCCUGCUCACCCUGACGGCCCACCGCUGCUGUCAGACAACAUCUCAAAGAUGCUAUAAACUGCAGGACUAGAUGGCCAUCCCAAGGUUUCUAGAGAUUACAGCAGCUCCAGACUGAAUCCAAACUCACUUGUGAAGACUUCAGAUGACACCAACGCUCACAAAGACUACAGACGACAACUGUACAUGAACACACAAAACAUUGGACACACAAAACAAAUAUUAUCCUUAUUUUGCCUAUAAGGGUAAAUUUGAUGAUUUUCAAACUGCUUUAUUGUAACGUCUCUUAUAUCUGUAAAUGAACAAUAUUUACUCUCUGAGUUAUGUAGACCUACAUGUCCCCUUUUAUUUGUAAGCAUCACUUUAAAAAUGUUGAAAGAUAAUGUUAAUGUUAACUGAAUACAAAACUAGAGACUUGUUUAGUAAGAUUUUAUCAGAAAAUAUUUUUGAACUUUUAUCAUGCAAUUUAAAACAUUUUAAUUGCUUAAUUAUAUUGUUUACCUGGUUUUAUUUUGUGUUUAUGUAACUUUUUAAAAAGUUCUUGGCAUAAAGUUUGCAUGCGAUGCUGACAGCACUGAACACAUGACUUUUUAUUAUGAACUAGAUGGUCUUCCCAGUGAGUCUCAGUCAUCUCUGGCUUUUUAAACUGUAACCUUGAAACAUGCAUUUCCUGUAAACCUACUUUGAAAUAAGUAUUGUGAAAAAAGUGCUAUACUCAUACAACAUUUAACCAUGCAAGUACUGUAGUAAUGGUUAUUUUUGUUUUUACUAUGGUUUUACUGCAAAAGUUGUAGUAAAAUCAUGGUUAAUGUUCAAAAGACUACAAAUAAUCCCGAAUUAUCCACUUUUGAUCAAAGCAUCUGGUAAAUGUUAUUGUAUUUGUACAUGUAAUAUGAAAUAAAUGAAAAUAUUAAUAAAGUUGCGUCUGUUCUUGA